ACGAACGCUGGCGGCGUGCUUAACACAUGCAAGUCGGAACGAAAAGACGGAAAGAGCUUGCUCUUCUCAGAAUUGAGUGGCAAACGGGUGAGUAACACGUAAACAACCUGCCUUCAGGAUGGGGACAACAGCGGAAACGACUGCUAAUACCGAAUAAGUUCCAAGAGCCGCAUGGCCCAUGGAAGAAAAGGUGGCCUCUACCUGUAAGCUAUCGCCUGAAGAGGGGUUUGCGUCUGAUUAGCUGGUUGGAGGGGUAACGGCCCACCAAGGCGACGAUCAGUAGCCGGUCUGAGAGGAUGAACGGCCACACUGGAACUGAGACACGGUCCAGACUCCUACGGGAGGCAGCAGUGGGGAAUCUUCCGCAAUGGGCGAAAGCCUGACGGAGCAACGCCGCGUGAGUGAUGACGGCCUUCGGGUUGUAAAACUCUGUGAUCCGGGACGAAAAGGCAGA
rnacentral:rRNA from 1 species